ACUGACACUCAGAUGCGAAAGCGUGGGGAGCAAACAGGAUUAGAUACCCUGGUAGUCCACGCCGUAAACGAUGUCUACUUGGAGGUUGUGCCCUAGAGGCGUGGCUUUCGGAGCUAACGCGUUAAGUAGACCGCCUGGGGAGUACGGUCGCAAGAUUAAAACUCAAAUGAAUUGACGGGGGCCCGCACAAGCGGUGGAGCAUGUGGUUUAAUUCGAUGCAACGCGAAGAACCUUACCUACUCUUGACAUCCAGAGAAUCUAGCGGAGACGCUGGA
rnacentral:rRNA from 1 species